rnacentral:rRNA from 1 species
UAGUUGAAUUUCGGGGUUAGUAGGUUGGUCAUGCCUCUGGUAUGUACUGGUCUCACUGAUUCCUCCUUCCUGAUGAACCUUAAUGCCAUUAAUUUGGUGUUUUGGGGAAUUUGGACUGUUACUUUGAAAAAAUUAGAGUGUUUAAAGCAAGCUAACGCUUGAAUACAUUAGCAUGGAAUAAUGAAAUAGGACGUUCGAUCCUAUUUUGUUGGUUUCUAGGAUUGACGUAAUGAUUAAUAGGGAUAGUUGGGGGCAUUAGUAUUCAAUUGUCAGAGGUGAAAUUCUUGGAUUUAUUGAAGACUAACUACUGCGAAAGCAUUUGCCAAGGAUGUUUUCAUUAAUCAAGAACGAAAGUUAGGGGAUCGAAGACGAUCAGAUACCGUCGUAGUCUUAACCAUAAACUAUGCCGACUAGGGAUCGGAUGAUGUUAAUUUUUUAAUGACUCA